GUACUCACUUCAGUGGCACACAUCCUGAAAUUGGACCCACACAGAGAACAGCAGGGCACAGGCAUAAGGAUAACACAAAAUUUCAUGAAGCACUCCAUAUAUUU